GGUGCCCACUCCCGGGUGACUCGGUAACCUGUCGCUCAGGUUCCUCCUCUCACAGCCCCGCCCCGGCCUAUCCGGCCCAGCAGAGGUCCCGCCUGUUGGGAAGAGAGAGCGCCACUGCCGCUGAGGCUCUGACAGACAGCCGGUGGACAAGCUGACCGAGGGGCCUAGCCAAGCACAGGCCCUGAGGGACGGAGAGCAGGUCUGCUCUCCUUGACCCUGGCUACCACUGGGAACGUCAUGAGCCAGUCAGCAAACAUGAGUUGCUGCCCAGGAGCCGCCAAUGGCAGUCUGGGCCGGUCUGAUGGUGUGCCCAGGAUGAGCGCAAAGGACCUGUUUGCACCUGGCCACAUUCAUCAUGGACAAGAGUGAGGCUAUCGCCACAGUGGAUGAUGCCAUCCGGAAGCUGGUGCAGCUG
rnacentral:lncRNA from 1 species